GACGAGCGCUGGCGGCGUGCCUAAUACAUGCAAGUAGAACGCACAGUUUAUACCGUAGCUUGCUACACCAUAGACUGUGAGUUGCGAACGGGUGAGUAACGCGUAGGUAACCUGCCUGGUAGCGGGGGAUAACUAUUGGAAACGAUAGCUAAUACCGCAUAAUAUUAAUUAUUGCAUGAUAAUUAAUUGAAAGGUGCAAUUGCACCACUACCAGAUGGACCUGCGUUGUAUUAGCUAGUAGGUGAGGUAACGGCUCACCUAGGCGACGAUACAUAGCCGACCUGGGAGGGUGAUCGGCCACACUGGGACUGAGACACGGCCCAGACUCCUACGGGAGGCAGCAGUAGGGAAUCUUCGGCAAUGGACGAAAGUCUGACCGAGCAACGCCGCGUGAGUGAAGGAGGGUUUCGGAUCGUAAAGCUCUGUUGUAAGAGAAGAACGGGUGUGAGAGUGGAAAGUUCACACUGUGACGGUAUCUUACCAGAAAGGGACGGCUAACUACGUG
rnacentral:rRNA from 1 species